rnacentral:rRNA from 1 species
UACAGAGGUCUCAAGCGUUGUUCGGAUUCAUUGGGCGUAAAGGGUGUGUAGGUGGCGCCGUAAGUCGGGUGUGAAAUUUCGGAGCUUAACUCCGAAACUGCAUUCGAUACUGCGGUGCUUGAGGACUGGAGAGGAGACUGGAAUUCAUGGUGUAGCAGUGAAAUGCGUAGAGAUCAUGAGGAAGACCAGUGGCGACGGCGGGUCUCUGGACAGUUCCUGACACUGAGACACGAAGGCCAGGGGAGCAAACGGG